GCUCCGGUAGUGUAGUCCGGUCAAGCAUCAUUCCCUCUCAAGGAAUAGACCCGGGUUCGAAUCCCGGCCGGAGCA
rnacentral:tRNA from 1 species